GAAACUAACAAGGAUUCCCCUAGUAACUGCGAGUGAAGCGGGAAAAGCUCAAAUUUAAAAUCUGGCAGUCUUUGAUUGUCCGAGUUGUAAACUAGAGAAGUGUUAUCCGUGCUGGACCGUGUAAAAGUCUCCUGGAAUGGAGCAUCAUAGAGGGUGAGAAUCCCGUCUUUGACAUGGACUACCAGUGCUUUGUGAUGCGCUCUCAAAGAGUCGAGUUGUUUGGGAAUGCAGCUCAAAAUGGGUGGUAAAUUCCAUCUAAAGCUAAAUAUUGGCGAGAGACCGAUAGCGAACAAGUACCGUGAGGGAAAGAUGAAAAGAACUUUGGAAAGAGAGUUAAACAGUACGUGAAAUUGCUGAAAGGGAAACGCUUGAAGUCAGUCGCGUCGGCCAGGAAUCAACCUUGCUUUUGCUGGGCGUACUUUCUGGUUGACGGGUCAGCAUCAAUUUUGACUGCUGGAAAAAGUUCAAGGGAAUGUGGCAUCUUCGGAUGUGUUAUAGCCCUUGUUCGCAUACAGCAGUUGGGAUUGAGGUACUCAGCACGCCGCAAGGCCGGGUUUCGACCACGUUCGUGCUUAGGAUGCUGGCAUAAUGGCUUUAAUCGACCCGUCUUGAAACACGGACCAAGGAGUCUAACAUGCCUGCGAGUGUUUGGGUGGAAAACCCAAGCGCGCAAUGAAAGUAAAAGUUGAGAUCCCUGUCAUGGGGAGCAUCGACGCCCGGACCAGAGCUUUUGUGACGGAUCUGCGGUAGAGCAUGUAUGUUGGGACCCGAAAGAUGGUGAACUAUGCCUGAAUAGGGUGAAGCCAGAGGAAACUCUGGUGGAGGCUCGUAGCGAUUCUGACGUGCAAAUCGAUCGUCAAAUUUGGGUAUAGGGGCGAAAGACUAAUCGAACC
rnacentral:rRNA from 1 species